UGGGAAUCUGCCUUUUGGUUCGGAACAACAUGGGGAAACCUGUGCUAAUACCGGAUAAGUCCUAACGGAGAAAGUUUUAACGCCGAAAGAUGAGCCCGCAUUUGAUUGGCUUGUUGGUGAGGUAAAAGCUCACCAAGGCAAUGAUCAAUAGCUGAUUUGAGAGGAUGAUCAGCCACACUGGGACUGAGACACGGCCCAGACUCCUACAGGAGGCAGCAGUGGGGAAUCUUGCACAAUGGAGGAAACUCUGAUGCAGCGAUGCCGCGUGAGUGAAGAAGGCCUUUGGGUUGUAAAGCUCUUUUGUCGGGAAAGAUAAUGACUGUACCCGAAGAAUAAGGUCCGGCUAACUUCGUGCCAGCAGCCGCGGUAAUACGAAGGGACCUAGCGUAGUUCGGAAUUACUGGGCGUAAAGCGCGCGUAGGCGGUUAUGUAAGUUAAUUGUGAAAGCCCAAAGCUCAACUUUGGAACUGCAAUUAAAACUAUUUAGCUAGAGUUUGAUAGAGGAAAGCGGAAUACAUAGUGUAGAGGUGAAAUUCGUAGAUAUUAUGUAGAACACCAGUUGCGAAGGCGGCCUUCUGGAUCAUUACUGACGCUGAGGUGCGAAAGUAUGGGUAGCGAAGAGGAUUAGAUACCCUCGUAGUCCAUACUGUAAACAAUGAUUGUUAGAUGUAAGA
rnacentral:rRNA from 1 species